UACAGAGGGUGCAAGCGUUAAUCGGAUUUACUGGGCGUAAAGCGUGCGUAGGCGGUUCGUUAAGUCGGAUGUGAAAGCCCUGGGCUCAACCUAGGAAUUGCAUUCGAUACUGAUGGACUAGAGAUCGGUAGAGGGCGGCGGAAUUCCGGGUGUAGCAGUGAAAUGCGUAGAUAUCCGGAGGAACACUGAUGGCGAAGGCGACACGCUGGGCCGUACCUGACGCUAAAGCGCGACAGCAUGGGGAGCAAACGGG
rnacentral:rRNA from 1 species